AUUCCAGCUCCAAUAGCGUAUAUUAAAGUUGCUGCGGUUAAAAAGCUCGUAGUCGGAUUUCAGUCUAGGAAGGUUCACUCGCCGAAAGGUUGUACGUUGAUUUUCCUCAGACUUCGUCAGAACCUCGUGCUGCACUUAACUGUGUGGUACGAUGUUCUGACCUUUUACCUUGAGGGAAGUCGAGUGUUUCAGGCAGGCUACCCAGCUUGAAUACAUUAGCAUGGAAUAAUAAGAUAGGACUUUGGUGGUUUAUUUUGUUGGUUUGCACGCCGAAGUAAUGAUUAAUAGGAGCAGUUGGGGAUGUCCGUAUUCGAUUGUCAGAGGUGAAAUUCUUGGAUUUAUUGAAGACGAACUACUGCGAAAGCAUUCAUCAAGGAUGUUUUCAUCA
rnacentral:rRNA from 1 species